rnacentral:lncRNA from 1 species
UCUGUGAUGGUUCAUUCAUAUGGAUUACUGUUAUUUUUAUCGGGAAGUUCGCCUGCGAAGUAGCAGACUAUGAGGGUUAUUUUAUCUUCCAUUUCAGGUUAUGAUUCUGCUAUCUGGUGUUUUAGCAUGGCUUGUAAACUUCUCUAUUUAUUGGAUAAUUGGGAACACGUCACCUGUAACGUACAACAUGGUUGGCCACCUGAAGUUCUGUGUUACAGUGACAGCGGGUUGCAUCCUUUUCAAUGACAAACCGAAUAUAAACCAAAUAGCCGCUGUACUAUCAACGAUAUCCGGGGUUACAGCCUACACACAUCUAAAGAUGCAAGAACAAAAAGAAAUUGAACGGUCAAGCCAAGAAGAUAUAGAAUGUACGCCAGUAAAUGAACACGACACACUCCAUUGCAAAGAGUGAAAGAUGUCGCACUUUCUGUUUUUUACAUAACGUGUGUAAUA